GCCUAAUACAUGCAAGUCGAACGGUCUUUCUAUGGAAGCUUGCUUCCACUGAGAAGAUAGUGGCGAACGGGUGAGUAACACGUGGGGUAAACCCUGCCCAUAAGAGGGGGAUAACAUCCGGAAACGGGUGCUAAUACCGCAUAGUUUUCUUGAUCGCAUGAUCGGGAAAGGAAAGACGGCCUUUGUGCUGUCGCUUAUGGAUGGACCCGCGGCGUAUUAGUUAGUUGGUGAGGUAACGGCUCACCAAGACGAUGAUACGUAGCCGACCUGAGAGGGUGAUCGGCCACAUUGGGACUGAGACACGGCCCAAACUCCUACGGGAGGCAGCAGUAGGGAAUCUUCCGCAAUGGACGAAAGUCUGACGGAGCAACGCCGCGUGAGUGAAGAAAAGGUUUUCGGAUCGUAAAACUCUGUUGUCAGAGAAGAACAAGUUGGAGAGUAACUGCUCCAGCCUUGACGGUAUCUGACCAGAAAGCCACGGCUAACUACGUGCCAGCCGCAGC
rnacentral:rRNA from 1 species